GUGAUCAAGGGUGGGAGGGCCAAG
rnacentral:misc_RNA from 1 species